rnacentral:tRNA from 1 species
CACUGGAUAGCUCAGAUGGGUAGAGCAUCGGACUGUUAAUCCGACUGUCGCGGGUUCGACUCCCGCUCCAACCA